AAGGGAGAGGAAGAGAGAGAAAUGGUGUGCUGUGCAUUUCUUACAUUCCGUCAUUUCAUAAACCCAACAAGCAACAAAAACCCUAGUUCCUCCUCUCUCCUAAAGCUCCCACUUUCGUACUCUCUCAAAUUGCUACUGCCAACACACAUAUAUCAUUCUUCAAACUGAAAACCAUACGAAUUCUACAGAUUUUAGCAUGUUGAGACUGUGGAAAUAGUACCAGAAUUGUUUAGCGACACAUCCAGUUAAAACCCAGAAAAACAGAGGAAAGAAAAUCAAGAAAAGCCUUUAUUCGUCAAGGAGGCAAACAUGGCUAAGCCUGAUGAUGCCCAUUUGCAGGGUAACACUCGCAGGAAAAGUAGCGGUAGAGGUUGGGUACAACACAGAAAAAUGCGAGAAAGAAAAAAAUCGCUGGACAGAGCAUGUGAGAACAACAUCGGGAAGGCCUUAGUUAUACCUGAAGUAUAGAGAGUAUAUGUAUCUAUAGGUAUGAUCGAAUUUAUAUGUGAACCAUUGAUACAAUUUUGAUUGUACGAUUGUAUCAUGUAACGUAAUGAGUCCGGUUCAAAUCGGGUCGGUACGACCUAAAUGCCUUAGGGUCUAUUUUCAUUUACGAUGAUAUAUAACAUGAU